UGGGGGCAACCCUGAACCAGCCAAGUCGCGUGAAGGAUGAAGGUCUUAUGGAUUGUAAACUUCUUUUACACGGGAAUAAAGCGGGGGACGUGUCCCUCUUUGCAUGUACCGUGUGAAUAAGGAUCGGCUAACUCCGUGCCAGCAGCCGCGGUAAUACGGAGGAUCCGAGCGUUAUCCGGAUUUAUUGGGUUUAAAGGGUGCGCAGGCGGGAUGUUAAGUCGGCGGUGACAUUUUGCAGCUCAACUGUAAAAGUGCCUUCGAUACUGGCCUUCUUGAGUGUGGAUGAAGUAGGCGGAAUUUGUGGUGUAGCGGUGAAAUGCUUAGAUAUCACGCGGAACUCCGAUUGCGCAGGCAGCUUACUAAGCCACAACUGACGCUCAUGCACGAAGGCGUGGGGAUCAAACA
rnacentral:rRNA from 1 species